GUCUCCGUAGCUCAGUGGAUAGAGCGUUUGGUUGCGGACCAAAAGGUCGCAGGUUCGAAUCCUGCCGGGGACG
rnacentral:tRNA from 1 species